rnacentral:rRNA from 1 species
GGGUUGUGAGGUUAAGCGACUAAGCGUACACGGUGGAUGCCCUGGCAGUCAGAGGCGAUGAAGGACGUGCUAAUCUGCGAAAAGCGUCGGUAAGGUGAUAUGAACCGUUAUAGCCGGCGAUGUCCGAAUGGGGAAACCCAGUGCAAUUCGUUGCACUAUCGUUAACUGAAUACAUAGGUUAACGAGGCGAACCGGGGGAACUGAAACAUCUAAGUACCCCGAGGAAAAGAAAUCAACCGAGAUUCCCCCAGUAGCGGCGAGCGAACGGGGAGCAGCCCAGAGUCUGAAUCAGCUUGUGUGUUAGUGGAACGGUCUGGAAAGUCCGACGGUACAGGGUGAUAGUCCCGUACACCAAAAUGCACAGGCUGUGAACUCGAAGAGUAGGGCGGGACACGUGGUAUCCUGUCUGAAUAUGGGGGGACCAUCCUCCAAGGCUAAAUACUCCUGACUGACCGAUAGUGAACCAGUACCGUGAGGGAAAGGCGAAAAGAACCCCGGCGAGGGGAGUGAAAAAGAACCUGAAACCGUGUACGUACAAGCAGUGGGAGCACCUUCGGGUGUGACUGCGUACCUUUUGUAUAAUGGGUCAGCGACUUAUAUUCUGUAGCAAGGUUAACCGUAUAGGGGAGCCGCAGGGAAACCGAGUCUUAACUGGGCGUUAAGUUGCAGGGUAUAGACCCGAAACCCGGUGAUCUAGCCAUGGGCAGGUUGAAGGUUGGGUAACACUAACUGGAGGACCGAACCGACUAAUGUUGAAAAAUUAGCGGAUGACUUGUGGCUGGGGGUGAAAGGCCAAUCAAACCGGGAGAUAGCUGGUUCUCCCCGAAAGCUAUUUAGGUAGCGCCUCGUGAACUCAUCUUCGGGGGUAGAGCACUGUUUCGGCUAGGGGGUCAUCCCGACUUACCAACCCGAUGCAAACUACGAAUACCGAAGAAUGUUAUCACGGGAGACACACGGCGGGUGCUAACGUCCGUCGUGAAGAGGGAAACAACCCAGACCGCCAGCUAAGGUCCCAAAGUCAUGGUUAAGUGGGAAACGAUGUGGGAAGGCACAGACAGCCAGGAUGUUGGCUUAGAAGCAGCCAUCAUUUAAAGAAAGCGUAAUAGCUCACUGGUCGAGUCGGCCUGCGCGGAAGAUGUAACGGGGCUAAACCAUGCACCGAAGCUGCGGCAGCGACACUAUGUGUUGUUGGGUAGGGGAGCGUUCUGUAAGCCUGCGAAGGUGUGCUGUGAGGCAUGCUGGAGGUAUCAGAAGUGCGAAUGCUGACAUAAGUAACGAUAAAGCGGGUGAAAAGCCCGCUCGCCGGAAGACCAAGGGUUCCUGUCCAACGUUAAUCGGGGCAGGGUGAGUCGACCCCUAAGGCGAGGCCGAAAGGCGUAGUCGAUGGGAAACAGGUUAAUAUUCCUGUACUUGGUGUUACUGCGAAGGGGGGACGGAGAAGGCUAUGUUAGCCGGGCGACGGUUGUCCCGGUUUAAGCAUGUAGGCUGGUUGUCCAGGCAAAUCCGGAUAAUCAAGGCUGAGGUGUGAUGACGAGGCACUACGGUGCUGAAGUAACAAAUGCCCUGCUUCCAGGAAAAGCCUCUAAGCAUCAGGUAACAUUAAAUCGUACCCCAAACCGACACAGGUGGUCAGGUAGAGAAUACCAAGGCGCUUGAGAGAACUCGGGUGAAGGAACUAGGCAAAAUGGUGCCGUAACUUCGGGAGAAGGCACGCUGGUGUGUAGGUGAAGCCCCUGCGGGUGGAGCUGAGACCAGUCGAAGAUACCAGCUGGCUGCAACUGUUUAUUAAAAACACAGCACUGUGCAAACACGAAAGUGGACGUAUACGGUGUGACGCCUGCCCGGUGCCGGAAGGUUAAUUGAUGGGGUUAUCCGUAAGGAGAAGCUCUUGAUCGAAGCCCCGGUAAACGGCGGCCGUAACUAUAACGGUCCUAAGGUAGCGAAAUUCCUUGUCGGGUAAGUUCCGACCUGCACGAAUGGCGUAAUGAUGGCCAGGCUGUCUCCACCCGAGACUCAGUGAAAUUGAACUCGCUGUGAAGAUGCAGUGUACCCGCGGCAAGACGGAAAGACCCCGUGAACCUUUACUAUAGCUUGACACUGAACAUUGAGCCUUGAUGUGUAGGAUAGGUGGGAGGCUUUGAAGCGUGGACGCCAGUCUGCGUGGAGCCAACCUUGAAAUACCACCCUUUAAUGUUUGAUGUUCUAACGUUGGCCCCUUACCGGGGUUGCGGACAGUGUCUGGUGGGUAGUUUGACUGGGGCGGUCUCCUCCCAAAGCGUAACGGAGGAGCACGAAGGUUAGCUAAUCCUGGUCGGACAUCAGGAGGUUAGUGCAAUGGCAUAAGCUAGCUUGACUGCGAGCGUGACGGCGCGAGCAGGUGCGAAAGCAGGUCAUAGUGAUCCGGUGGUUCUGAAUGGAAGGGCCAUCGCUCAACGGAUAAAAGGUACUCCGGGGAUAACAGGCUGAUACCGCCCAAGAGUUCAUAUCGACGGCGGUGUUUGGCACCUCGAUGUCGGCUCAUCACAUCCUGGGGCUGAAGUAGGUCCCAAGGGUAUGGCUGUUCGCCAUUUAAAGUGGUACGCGAGCUGGGUUUAGAACGUCGUGAGACAGUUCGGUCCCUAUCUGCCGUGGGCGCUGGAGAAUUGAGGGGGGCUGCUCCUAGUACGAGAGGACCGGAGUGGACGCAUCACUGGUGUUCGGGUUGUCAUGCCAAUGGCACUGCCCGGUAGCUAAAUGCGGAAGAGAUAAGUGCUGAAAGCAUCUAAGCACGAAACUUGCCCCGAGAUGAGUUCUCCCUGAGACUUUAAGUCUCCUGAAGGAACGUUAAAGACGAUGACGUUGAUAGGCCGGGUGUGUAAGCGCAGCGAUGCGUUGAGCUAACCGGUACUAAUGAACCGUGAGGCUUAACCUUACAACGCCGAAG